AAUCCAUUAGGCGCUGCGGGGCUACGCGCACUGGGGGCGGCAGGGAUCCGCUCAUGCUGGAGAAGGAGUCGCCUCGGAAGCGCGCGGCUGCAGUCACCCGGAGCAGGCCGGCUGCUCCCGGCGGGCGGUGUCGGCGCCGGCGGGGGCCUCAGCGCCCAGGGCUCCUUCCGGGCUCUCCCGCCCGCCAGGCUCCCCACCGGCUCCGGAGGCGGCAGCGGCGCUGCCCGAGCAAAGCUGCGGUGGGGCCACGUUGGGCGCCGGGCGGGAGCGGAGGCCGCCGCGGACCCCGCAAUCCCGCAGCCGGCGACUGGAUCCCACCUCUGCAGAGACAAAGGAGCUGCUCCAGAGAACACCAGCUGAAAGUAAAUGUCCUUGAGGGCCCCAGCAUUCUCCUCAUCAUUAAUGCAUGGGCAUGAUCAUCCAGGCUUCAGAACCUGCCUGAAAGAGAUGCCAGAAGAAUCAGCAAACACCAGGGAAGCAGAGGAC